rnacentral:lncRNA from 1 species
GGGAAGGAGGUGAAGGAGGAGGCGUCCGACAUGGUUACGUCGCAGUCGCACUCGCACACCCACUCGUGGGGCGAGACGCGCACGCCGGAGUCGGAGAUCGUGGACAACGACCCCUUCCCGGAGCUGGACUCGUUCCCGGCGUUCCAGCCUGCGCCGCCGCCGGCGACGGCGAUGAUGGUGCCCAAGAAAGAAUCGAUGGACGACGCCACCGCGGCCGCCGCCGCCGCCGCCACCAUCCCCAGGAACAACAGCAGCCUGUUCGUGGACCUGAGCUACGACGAUAUCCAGGGCAUGUACAGCGGCCUCGACAUGCUGCCGCCGGGCGACGACUUCUACUCGUCGCUCUUCGCGUCGCCGCGGGUGAAGGGGACGACGCCACGCGCCGGCGCCGGCAUGGGCAUGGUCCCGUUCUGAGGUGACGGCGACGCGAUCGAACAGGUGGUGAUCGAUGCUGCAACGUG